rnacentral:rRNA from 1 species
GAAUUUUAUAUAAAUUUAUUAUUUAAUUUAGUUAAAAAUAUUAUUAAUAGAUUAAUAUUUUAUUGGGAGGAUAGUUAAAUUAAGAAAACUUUAAUAUUUUUUAAAUCAUUAAUUUAUGAGUUAUGGUUAAGAAGAAUGAUUAUUAAAUUUGCGUAGAAUUAAUUACCUUAGGGAUAACAGCGUAAUUUCUUUAGAGAGAUCUUAUUAAUAAAGAUGUUUGC